CCUACGGGUGGCAGCAGUGGGGAAUAUUGCGCAAUGGGCGAAAGCCUGACGCAGCGACGCCGCGUGAGGGAUGAAGGUCUUCGGAUCGUAAACCUCUGUCAGCAGGGAAGAAAGGUCACUGAGCUAAUCAGCAGUGAAUUGACGGUACCUGCAAAGGAAGCACCGGCUAACUCCGGGCCAGCAGCCGCGGUAAUACGGAGGGUGCGAGCGUUACUCGGAAUUACUGGGCGUAAAGCGCUCGUAGGCGGGAUGGCAAGUCAAGGGUGAAAUCCCCGCGCUUAACGUGGGAACUGCCUUUGAAACUGGCAAACUAGAGUGUGUGAGAGGUUAGUGGAAUUCCAGGUGUAGGGGUGAAAUCCGUAGAUAUCUGGAGGAACAUCCGUGGCGAAGGCGACUAUCUGGCACAUAACUGACGCUGAUGAGCGAAAGCGUGGGUAGCAAACAGGAUUAGAUACCCUGGUAGUC
rnacentral:rRNA from 1 species